GGCGUUUGAAGUAGAAGAUUACCGCGUUCUUUGAUGUCUCCACCGAUAUGAUACGGCAACCCGCAAUUAGCGAACGAAACGAAAGGGCCUCUUUCAAACAUAAUGAUUUGUGCAUCUUCACUAAGACGUCUUGCACGAGCUGCUGCUGAUGCGCCACCUGCAACACCGC
rnacentral:antisense_RNA from 1 species